GAUCCUGGCUCAGGAUGAACGCUGGCUACAGGCUUAACACAUGCAAGUCGAGGGGCAGCAUGCCGGUUGCUUGCAACCGGUGAUGGCGACCGGCGCACGGGUGAGUAACGCGUAUCCAACCUUCCCGCGACCAAGGGAUAACCUGCCGAAAGGCAGACUAAUACCUUAUGUCCUCCUUUGAAGGCAUCUGACGAGGAGCAAAGAUCCGUCGGUCACGGAUGGGGAUGCGUCCGAUUAG
rnacentral:rRNA from 1 species